rnacentral:rRNA from 1 species
CCCCACUAUGCUUAGCCCUAAACACAGAUAUUAUAAUACACCAAUAUCCGCCAGAGAACUACAAGCGAAAAGCUAGAAACUCCAAGGACUUGGCGGUGCUUCAAAUCAACUUAGAGGAGCCUGUCCUAUAAUCGAUACUCCACGUUUCACCUUACCCCCCCUAGUCCCCAGCCUAUAUACCGCCGUCGUCAGCCUACCUUAUGAAGGAGAUAAAGUAAGCAAAACAGUUAAUAACUAAAACGUCAGGUCAAGGUGUAGCACAUGGGCGGGCAGAGAUGGGCUACAUUUUCAAAACGAACACACGGAUAAUAUAUUGAAACAUAUAUUUGAAGGCGGAUUUAAUAGUAAAAUAACCAAGAAACCUAUA